rnacentral:rRNA from 1 species
UACGGAGGGUGCAAGCGUUAUCCGGAUUUACUGGGUUUAAAGGGUGCGUAGGCGGAUAAGUAAGUCCGUGGUGAAAUCCUGCAGCUUAACUGCAGAACUGCCGUGGAUACUAUUUGUCUUGAAUAUCGUGGAGGUUAGCGGAAUAUGUCAUGUAGCGGUGAAAUGCUUAGAUAUGACAUAGAACACCCAUUGCGAAGGCAGCUAACUACGCGAUUAUUGACGCUGAUGCACGAAAGCGUGGGGAUCAAACAGG